UACGUAGGGGGCAAGCGUUAUCCGGAAUCAUUGGGCGUAAAGCGCGUGUAGGCGGUUCAGUAAGUCCGCUCUGAAAGCCCAGGGCUCAACCCUGGGAGGCGGGUGGAUACUACUGAACUAGAGUACGGAAGAGGGGAUUGGAAUUCCUGGUGUAGCGGUGAAAUGCGCAGAUAUCAGGAAGAACACCCGUGGCUAAGGCGGCUCUCUAGUACGGUACUGACGCUGAGACGCGAAAGCGUGGGGAGCGAACAGG
rnacentral:rRNA from 1 species